UCGCCGGGUAAAUUGGCCGAAGCUGAUGUCUGAUCCGAUCCGAUGACCCAACUGACCGGUUCCUGGCGAGAGUGUGAUCGAUGAGGCGAGAGCACUGCACGCCUGACGUCUCCAAAAUAUUCUUCGGUUAAAGUAUCCUCUGAAGCCCCGUCCCAAUUGUACCACCACUAGCGAUAGUCGCUUCUUGUGGUUUUUGGUCCGGACGCGAGUGGCGGUGAAUUUUUAACGGAAGUCAAGUAAAGGCAAUCACUGAAAACUAACUGCGAUCUAGCAGAAAGCAACGUCUGGGGGGUUAGAGGAAAUGAGCUAUCGCCUGGCUCUUUAUAGUCCUUAUCUUAAUAACUGCUUUUUUGGAAGGAAAAGGUGGGAAGCCACUUUGUUGUUCUGGUGCGGGAAAAUGAAAUUAAGGUUUGGAUAUUAGGGUUUAAUUAAUACCUUUUACCGUGUCUUAUGUCUCGUCAAUUUUGUCGCCAAACUCAAAUUACUUGUUUCAACUUGGGGUUGUCUACUGUGUACCCGAGUAUUUUUUUCCUCCCACACUUGAAUUCUGAACCGUUGGAUCGAAAACGGAUGGACGAGAUCUAUCAGCACCUCCACCUUAUCUUCUCCAUCCGUGGACAGGAUUCGCGGACCAUUCCUAUCCUCUUCUUCCUCCCGACCCUGUCAUCUCACCGCCGGUGUGGCCCUUCCUCCCUCCACCGCCCCUCCCUCUUCCGUUUUCCCCAUCACUGAGGUCGCCGCCACCAGUUGCCCCCGCCUCCGUUGCCGCCCUGCUCGUCUCCGGCGGGCCGCCGUAGUCUCGACCGCCCCCACGCUAAUUCGUAGCCGGUGCUCGCCCCCGUCCUUCCACCGCCCAGCCGGGGGUCCACCGCUGCCCCGGCAAGCGGCACCCCCGCCUCACCGCCAUCUCUACUGCCACCACUGCCCGCUAUCCUGCCACCCAGAGCUUCCUCUAGAUCUGCCAAAGAUAGGUACGCCCCCAACCUCGAACCCUAAAAGCUCGUCGGGGCUCGUCGGAGCUAGAGAAGAAGGGAGAGAUGAGGGGAAGCAAAAAUUCAAGUGUGGGCAGCUGAAAAAAAAUGAUCGAGCAUAGUUUAGCUUUGCCCUUCAACUAUCAAGAUUUUCUGCCCACUUACAAAACUAAACUAUCAAGAUUCUUUUUCUUAUUUUCUAUGGAUGGGGAUACAAUUUUGGAAGUUCUAUCUACUUUGGGUUACAAACUUAUCAGGGGAAUAAGUAUAGCUCGGAUGGUUAGCGGAGAUAAUUGUACACGCACCCCGGGUCUUCAUGGAUCAAACUUCAAAUCUGACGUCCCGUGUGCUGCUUUUCAGUAGAAAAUUGGCGUUCAUAUUGACAUCGAGACAUGCCAGUAACUUCAUCAAUCUUAAUAUAUGUGAAACUAUGUGUGUUCAUAAGUGUAAGUGUAUAUGUCUCUGUCUGCAUGCGUAAGUGUGAGCGUAUACAUCCUAUUUUUUUAAAGAAA
rnacentral:lncRNA from 1 species